rnacentral:rRNA from 1 species
UACGUAGGGUGCAAGCGUUGUCCGGAAUUAUUGGGCGUAAAGAGCUUGUAGGCGGUUUGUCGCGUCUGCUGUGAAAUUUCGGGGCUCAACCCCGAACUUGCAGUGGGUACGGGCAGGCUAGAGUGUGGUAGGGGAGACUGGAAUUCCUGGUGUAGCGGUGAAAUGCGCAGAUAUCAGGAGGAACACCGAUGGCGAAGGCAGGUCUCUGGGCCACUACUGACGCUGAGAAGCGAAAGCAUGGGGGAGCGAAACAGG